rnacentral:rRNA from 1 species
AGUGAACGCUGGCGGUAGGCCUAACACAUGCAAGUCGAACGGCAGCACAGUAAGAGCUUGCUCUUACGGGUGUCGAGUGGCGGACGGGUGAGGAAUACAUCGGAAUCUACUUUUUCGUGGGUGAUAACGUAGGGAAACUUACGCUAAUACCGCAUACGACCUACGGGUGAAAGCAGGGGAUCUUCGGACCUUUCGCGAUUGAAUGAGCCGAUGUCGGAUUAGCUAGUUGGCGGGGGAAAGGCCCACCAAGGCGACGAUCCGUAGCUGCUCUGAAAGGAAGAACAGCUAGACUGUAAGUGAGACACGGUCCAGACUCUUACGGGAGGCAGCAGUGGGGAAUCUUGGACAAUGGGGGCAAGCCUGAUCCAGCAAUACCGCGUGAGUGCAGAAGGACUUCUGGUUGUAAAGCCCUUAUGUUGGGAAAGAAAAGCAGCUGUUUAAUACCCCACUGUAAUGACGGUACCCAAAGAAUAAGCACCGGCUAACUCCGUG